CCUGUCCCAGCUCGGCCCCGCUGGAGAAUGGAGCCUUUGCUCACACCAGAUGUGUUGGACGGCAUCACAUGCCCUACUGUCUGGGGCUCACUUGCUGUUUCCGAAAAGGGGGAAAGGAUUUGGGGCGGACAAUCCCGGCGCCUCCUGCUGGCUUUAGGGAGAGACAGGGCUGCGCUGGAGGAGAGCCCUGGGGAGCAGGCAGAGUUUUGUGACAAGGUUGGGACGCCUUGAGCAAGCCUUUCUGCUGGGCUAACUGGAGGAUGUGUAGCCGUCUCUGAUCAGACAAGAAGCCCUAUUUGCUGAAGUCUUUCUUCAACACUUUGACUCAGCCGUCCUUCCCUUCCCCAAACCUGCCGAAGACCCGGAAAUUCUCCCAGACUCUCCCAUUGCUGGCGACUGCAUCCACCAUCAGAGCCUCUGCUGGGGCGAGUAAGAGAGAUCGUUGCCAUUUCCCGGAACCCUUGACCCUCUCUGCCUUCCCAAAAGACCCAGCGCUUGUCCAAAAGCUUCCUCCUGCCUCCAGGCCUCCGGUUCCUCUGUUUCAGGGACGGACGCCUGACUCGAUGGCUAGCUCCCGAAUCCCGGACAAGGCCCGUAGGACAGGGGCCGCCCUCUCCCCCUGUCCUUGUCAAUCUGCAGUCUCUUCUUCCUCUCCCUCCCUCCCCCAUUCGCUAUGGGAGCCUGUCAGUCUUCCCCUUCCAAGACUACCCCCCUUGGGUGUGUCUUGCUAAUCUCCAUGCUCUCGGCCUCCGUUCAGAAGUCCGUCGUAAGAGGCUUAUCUUUUACUGUAAUACCGUCUGGCCUCAGUACAAAUUAGACAAUGGUUCCCAAUGGCCUGAAAAUGGCACUUUGCAUUUCAACGUACUUAAGGGCUUAGACAACUUUUGCCACUGCAAUGGGAAAUGCUCUGAGAUUCCUUAUGUUCAGGCUUUCUUCACUCUUUCGUAGCUGUCCUUCGAUCUGCCGGUCCUGCUCUACUUUCCAAAUCCUCCUGGCUGGCUCCUAACCUGACUCUCUUCCUGUCACUCUGCCCACAGCACCGGCUGACAAACCUGCUCCUGCCACAUUCCCACAGUCCCAGCUAACGACUCCUCUUCCACUUACCUGGAUGAUUUUCCUCCGCCUUAACCACACCAUGAUCCCCCCACCAGAGCACUGUAUUCCUCCACCAUACAUCCAGCUCCAGCCCUCUGCUUUCCCCCCCACCUCCCUUCUCUCGGCUACCCUUAUGCCACGUACUUGGGAGACUGAAGUGGGAGGAUCACUUGAGC